rfam:Methanofollis liminatans DSM 4140 chromosome, whole genome shotgun sequence.
GGGCUUGUGGUCUAGUCGGUUAUGACGUCGCCCUUACACGGCGAAGAUCCCCGGUUCGAGUCCGGGCAGGCCCA